CAGGCAACCAGUCAAAAACACAAUCCUCUCUUUUUAAACCCUUUCCAUGCGAAGUAUUAUUUCACUUGGCUACAUAUAUAAAUGGUACUGUCUCCAAAAACAAGGGCUCACAUAAGUUAUGGGGUGAACAACAGCCAGAUAGUGCUCCACGCAGAUACCACAGCAGCUGAAGAUGUUCCCUGAGAUGCCGACCAGCUCCAUGAUGACCAGGUGGUAGGUGAAGCUGUCAGAGUGGCUUAUCGUAGAGGUGGAGCACUUUUUACGCCAUUCUUGGAAGCCAUGGUAGAGGAUGAAGAUGCAGAGAGGGAGGAGGAGAAAGAAAUGUGUGAUGCUGAAUGUAGUGAAGAUGAGAGAGCCUGGUUCUGACAUGAGGCAUUCAAGGUCAACUGGAACGUGGGUGUUAAUGGAGGAAAGGUUUAUGUGAAGAGUGGAGUCACUGGAAGAGGAAGAGCUUACUGACAUCUAGAAGACAAUCACAUGAAUAAAAUGUUAAUAUUACAUCAGCUGCAUGUGUAUUUGUCCUGAAAGAAAAGAAGCAAUAAUGAU